rnacentral:rRNA from 1 species
UACGUAGGGACCGAGCGUUGUCCGGAUUCAUUGGGCGUAAAGAGCUCGUAGGCGGCCACUCAAGUCGAAUGUGAAACCUCGAGGCUUAACCUCGAGCCUGCAUUCGAUACUGGGCGGCUAGAGUCUGGUAGGGGGGAUCUGGAAUUCCUGGUGUAGCGGGUGGAAUGCGCAGAUAUCAGGAGGAACACCAAUGGCGAAGGCAGCUCGCUGGAACGGUACUGACGCUGAGGCGCGAAAGCGUGGGGAGCAAACGGG